rnacentral:rRNA from 1 species
UACGUAGGGUGCAAGCGUUUGUCCGGAUUUACUGGGCGUAAAGAGCGCGCAGGCGGCCAAGUCAGUCGAAUGUGAAAGCCCCCGGCUCAACUGGGGAGGGUCACGCGAUACUGAUCGACUCGAAGGCAGGAGAGGGUAGUGGAAUUCCCGGUGUAGUGGUGAAAUGCGUAGAUAUCGGAAGGAACACCAAUGGCGAAGGCAGCACUCUGGGACGUGACUGACGCUGAGACGCGAAAGCGUGGGGAGCAAACAGG